rnacentral:rRNA from 1 species
UACGUAGGUGGCAAGCGUUGUCCGGAUUUACUGGGUGUAAAGGGCGUGUAGCCGGGCUGACAAGUCAGAUGUGAAAUCCGGGGGCUCAACCCCCGAACUGCAUUUGAAACUGUUGGUCUUGAGUAUCGGAGAGGCAGGCGGAAUUCCUAGUGUAGCGGUGAAAUGCGUAGAUAUUAGGAGGAACACCAGUGGCGAAGGCGGCUUGCUGGACAGAGACUGACGUUGAGGCUCGAAAGCGUGGGGAGCAAACAGG